rnacentral:misc_RNA from 1 species
AACACUUAUUAUUUUUGUAGUUUUUACUUCUUUCGGGGAUGGGUAUAUCAUUACUUCAUUGUAGUGCCCCAUUUUGAUUCGAGUGUUGUGGUAGUUUUUGGAAAGGGAAAGAAUAAUCCAUCUUUUAGAUAAGUGUGUACUUAGGUACCAUCUAUCUUUAAUUCAUAUUUUCUUUUAGCUUGUUCUUGAAUAUGAAAUUGGCUUUCUUUUGUAUGUAAUACCUUUACAAUUUUCCAAGUGUAUGUUAGUUAAUCUCAAUUAUUAAUGGGACAAGCAAAAUGGUGAAAAAAAUGCUACACUUGCAGGGAACAAUCCAAUUUCUGGUAU